UAGGGAAUCUUCGGCAAUGGGGGCAACCCUGACCGAGCAACGCCGCGUGAGUGAAGAAGGUUUUCGGAUCGUAAAGCUCUGUUGUAAGUCAAGAACGGGUGUGAGAGUGGAAAGUUCACACUGUGACGGUAGCUUACCAGAAAGGGACGGCUAACUACGUGCCAGCAGCCGCGGUAAUACGUAGGUCCCGAGCGUUGUCCGGAUUUAUUGGGCGUAAAGCGAGCGCAGGCGGUUUGAUAAGUCUGAAGUUAAAGGCUGUGGCUCAACCAUAGUUCGCUUUGGAAACUGUCAAACUUGAGUGCAGAAGGGGAGAGUGGAAUUCCAUGUGUAGCGGUGAAAUGCGUAGAUAUAUGGAGGAACACCGGUGGCGAAAGCGGCUCUCUGGUCUGUAACUGACGCUGAGGCUCGAAAGCGUGGGGAGCGAACAGGAUUAGAUACCCUGGUAGUCCACGCCGUAAACGAUGAGUGCUAGGUGUUGGAUCCUUUCCGGGAUUCAGUGCCGCAGCUAACGCAUUAAGCACUCCGCCUGGGGAGUACGACCGCAAGGUUGAAACUCAAAGGAAUUGACGGGGGCCCGCACAAGCGGUGGAGCAUGUGGUUUAAUUCGAAGCAACGCGAAGAACCUUACCAGGUCUUGACAUCCCGAUGCUAUUUCUAGAGAUAGAAAGUUACUUCGGUACAUCGGUGACAGGUGGUGCAUGGUUGUCGUCAGCUCGUGUCGUGAGAUGUUGGGUUAAGUCCCGCAACGAGCGCAACCCCUAUUGUUAGUUGCCAUCAUUCAGUUGGGCACUCUAGCGAGACUGCCGGUAAUAAACCGGAGGAAGGUGGGGAUGACGUCAAAUCAUCAUGCCCCUUAUGACCUGGGCUACACACGUGCUACAAUGGUUGGUACAACGAGUUGCGAGUCGGUGACGGCGAGCUAAUCUCUUAAAGCCAAUCUCAGUUCGGAUUGUAGGCUGCAACUCGCCUACAUGAAGUCGGAAUCGCUAGUAAUCGCGGAUCAGCACGCCGCGGUGAAUACGUUCCCGGGCCUUGUACACACCGCCCGUCACACCACGAGAGUUUGUAACACCCGAAGUCGGUGAGGUAACCUUUUGGAGCCAGCC
rnacentral:rRNA from 1 species